rnacentral:misc_RNA from 1 species
GUGAAUCAUCAAAUCUUUGAACGCAAAUUGCACUCUCCGGUUUUCCGGGAGAGUAUGCCUGUUUGAGGGUCAGCCUAAAAAAAAUCGACAUUGUUGCUGUUAUUUAAUGGUGACUUUCGUCGGAGAUUGGGUUAUCUUAAACCUUUUUUUUUUUUUUUUGUUUAAGCGACUUAAAAUUUUUCUUCCCAAUUCCAUGAACUUUUCUAGGUUUUUUUUUUUUUUUACUUUAA